rnacentral:rRNA from 1 species
GUUGUCCGACUCUGUUGCCUCCGGGGCGACCCUGCCUUCGGGCGGGGGCUCCGGGUGGACACUUCAAACUCUUGCGUAACUUUGCAGUCUGAGUAAACUUAAUUAAUAAAUUAAAACUUUUAACAACGGAUCUCUUGGUUCUGGCAUCGAUGAAGAACGCAGCGAAAUGCGAUAAGUAAUGUGAAUUGCAGAAUUCAGUGAAUCAUCGAAUCUUUGAACGCACAUUGCGCCCCCUGGUAUUCCGGGGGGCAUGCCUGUUCGAGCGUCAUUUCACCACUCAAGCCUCGCUUGGUAUUGGGCAUCGCGGUCCGCCGCGUGCCUCAAAUCGACCGGCUGGGUCUUCUGUCCCCUAAGCGUUGUGGAAACUAUUCGCUAAAGGGUGUUCGGGAGGCUACGCCGUAAAACAACCCCAUUUCUAAGGUUGACCUCGGAUCAGGUAGGGAUACCCGCUGAACUUAAGCA